rnacentral:rRNA from 1 species
GACGAACGCUGGCGGCGUGCUUAACACAUGCAAGUCGAACGGAAAGGCCCUGCUUUUGUUGGGUGCUCGAGUGGCGAACGGGGGAGUAACACGUGUGUAACCUGCCCUUGACUUUGGGAUAACUUCUGGAAACUGGGGCUAAUACCGGAUAUGAGCUCUUGCUCCACGGGGUGGGUUGGAAAGUUUCGGCGGUUGUGGAUGGACUCGCGGGUUAUCCGCUUGUUGGUGGGGUAGUGGCUUACCAAGGCUUCGACGGGUAGCCGGCCUGAGAGGCGGACCGGCCACAUGGGGACUGAGAUACGGCCCAGAAGCAUACGGGAGGCAGCAGUGGGGAGUAUUGCACAGUGGGCGGAAGCCUGAUGCAGCAACGCCGGGUGCGGGAUGACGGCCUUCUGGUUGUAAACCGCUUUCGCCUGUGACGAAGCGUGAGUGACGGUAAUGGGUAAAGAAGCACCGGCUAACUACGUG